UGGGGAAUAUUGCACAAUGGGCGCAAGCCUGAUGCAGCGACGCCGCGUGGGGGAUGACGGCCUUCGGGUUGUAAACCUCUUUCAGCAGGGACGAAGCGGAAGUGACGGUACCUGCAGAAGAAGCACCGGCCAACUACGUGCCAGCAGCCGCGGUAAUACGUAGGGUGCAAGCGUUGUCCGGAAUUAUUGGGCGUAAAGAGCUCGUAGGCGGUCUGUCGCGUCGGCUGUGAAAUCCCGAGGCUCAACCUCGGGUCUGCAGUCGAUACGGGCAAACUGGAGUGUUGCAGGGGAGACUGGAAUUCCUGGUGUAGCGGUGAAAUGCGCAGAUAUCAGGAGGAACACCGGUGGCGAAGGCGGGUCUCUGGGCAACAACUGACGCUGAGGAGCGAAAGCGUGGGGAGCGAACAGGAUUAGAUACCCUGGUAGUCCACGCCGUAAACGUUGGGCGCUAGGUGUGGGGCUCAUUCCACGAGUUCCGUGCCGCAGCUAACGCAUUAAGCGCCCCGCCUGGGGAGUACGGCCGCAAGGCUAA
rnacentral:rRNA from 1 species